AUUGAACGCUGGCGGCAGGCCUAACACAUGCAAGUCGAGCGAGCGGCGGACGCGUGAGUAAUGUAUGUGGUCUGUCCGAUAUAGGGGGAUAUCUAUUGUAAACGGUGUCUAUUAUCGCACACUCUCGGUUUACCCAUAUGGGAUAAGCUAGUAGGUGAGGUAAUGGCUCACCUAGGCGACGCUCCCUAGCUGGUCUGAGAGGAUGUUCAGCCACACUGGGACUGAGACACGGCCCAGACUCCUACGGAGGCAGCAGUGGGGAAUAUUGCACAAUGGGCGCAAGCCUGAUGCAGCCAUGCCGCGUGUAUGAAGAAGGCCUUAGGGUUGUAAAGUACUUUCAGCCGGGAGGCGUUACCGGCAGAAGAAGCACCGGCUAACUCCGUGCCAGCAGCCGCGGUAAUAC
rnacentral:rRNA from 1 species